ensembl:lncRNA
UUCUAUCUUGAGUCAUCUGAAGGGGGACGACGGUGAGAAAACCUACUUUUGAAUAAAAAUCCGAAUUUUUUCUAAAUUGAAGUCAUAAGACAUUCUAAUGGCAGCAGUUGACACGGUACAGUGGUGUAGUGGUUAGCACUCUCGCCUCCCACACAGAUGCUUCGGGUUCAACUCCACCCAGUGGCACCACUGUGUUAGGUGGUUUAGGCUAAGCCUGCAUGGGGUUCAGUCCAUACUUGUAAAAGUAAUGGAAAAAACUUUUUUUAAACUUCCAAGUCUGAAAAGAAUCCCCAAAUAUUUUACAAGAAGUCAUUAAAUUCUAUCUUUAGUCAUAUGAAGGGGGACGACGGUGAAAAAACGUACUUUUGAAUAAAAAUCAGAAUUUUUUCUAAAUUGGAGUCAUAAGACAUUCUAAUGGCAGCAGUUUAUACGGUACAGUGGUGAAAUUCUAUCUUUAGUCAUAUGAAGGGGGACGACGGUGAGAAAACCUACUUUUGAAUAAAAAUGUGAUUUUUUUCUAAAUUGGAGUCAUAAGACAUUCUAAUGGCAGCAGUUGACACGGUACAGUGGUGUAGUUGUUAGCACUCUUGCCUCCCAGACAGAUGCCUCGGGUUCAACUCCACCCAGUGGCGCCAUUGUGUUAGGUGGCGUAGGCUAAGCCUGCAUGGGAUUCACUCCAUACUUGUAAAAGUAAUGGAAAAAAGUUUUUUAAAACUUCAGCAUCUGAAAAGAAUCCCCAAAUAUUUUGCAAAAAGUCAUGACAUUCUUUCUUUAGUCAUAUGAAGGGGGACGCCGGUGAGAAAACGUACUUUUGAAUAAAAAUCUGAAUUUUUUCUAAAUUGGAGUAAUUAGACAUUCUAAUGGCAGCAGUUGACACGGUACAGUGGUGUAGUGGUUAGCACUCUCGCCUCCCAGACAGAUGCCUCGGGUUCAACUCCACCCAGUGGAUCCUCUGUGUUAGGUGGUGUAGGCUAAGCCUGCAUGAGGUUCACUCCAUACUUGUAAAAGUAAUGGAAAAAACUUUUUUUAAACUUCCGCGUCCGAAAAGAAUCCCAAAAUAUUUUGCAAAAAGUCAUUAAAUUCUAUCUUUAGUCAUAUGAAGGUGCAGGAUGGUGAGAAAACCUACUUUUGAAUAAAAAUCCGAAUUUUUUCUAAAUUGGAGUCAUAAGACAUUCUAAUGGCAGCAGUUGACACGGUACAGUGGUGUAGUGGUUAGCACUCUCGCCUCCCAGACAGAUCCCUCGGGUUCAACUCCACCCAGUGGCGCCUCUGUGUUAGGUGGUGUAGGCUAAGCCUGCAUACUUGAAAUGAAAAAAACUUUAAGCCAUUUUUACACCACUACUCAGCAUGCGCCGGAAGUUCUAACAGAAACACGAAGUAAACCGGAAGUGCCCGGGAAACGUCUAUACCAAGCACUCCGCUCUUUCACAAUAAAGCUCAAGCUCUUCUCCACAACAACCAUCUGGAUAAUCUGCAAACUCUGGAAAACAGCUGAGCCAUGAACAACGACCAUACCUUCCCUGUAGUUCACUCCAUUAACAGACUCAUUCUUUGCGAGCUGACAGUGAGUAAUAUCAGGGUCUUUCAGCUGCAGAACCUUUUGUAUAUCGUGAUGCAAAAUAUCAACGGAGACAGUUGAAACAGCAGAGACAGUCAAGCUGGACAUUUUGGUUGUGUCCGACUCCAAGUGAUAUGCCAUCAUAAACUGAUGCUUCACCGCCAGGGAGAAGAGUAUGUUUUUAAAGCAGCGAGUGUGACGAAACAACCUGCUUAAAAAAACAAAAACAGUUUUGCCUCAAACCUCAUUGUCCACAUCCCAACCAGUGGGC